rnacentral:lncRNA from 1 species
AUCUCCCCAUCCAAAAAGCUUCUAUUGAGCCCAGACAGAAAGCUUCUAUUCAUUUUAAUUUUAUUAUAUGUAAGUUAUUUCAUUAUUUAUUGGCUUUAAAUUGUAAAAUGUGGUAGUAGAUAAAUUCCCUACCCUACCCUCCCUGCUAGUGGAUACUGAUGCCACCUUUCUUGCUUGCUUGCUUGCUUGCUUGCUUUCUUGCUUUCUUGCUUUCUUGCUUUCUUGCUUUCUUGCUUUCUUGCUUUCCAUCAAAUUAACUUAAGCAAUGCCAGAAGUGCCAACUUGGCCCCGUGACCAUGGGUGUCUGGGGCCGUGGGUGCCAUGCAGUGUGCAUAGCCCUAGCACCAAAAUUUGUGGGUGUCCGGCCCCUUCAUGGGGAAUUUUGUGGGUGCUCAGGCACCCAGGGCCCCAGGGAGUUGGCACCUAUGAGCAAUGCUGGGUCCAUUGCAUUUUAAUAUUCAUUCUCUCUCCAUAAUGAUACAUCUACAACAAAAGGUAUCCACCAACCAGACUCUAGCUGUUCUGCAACAAGCUUUAAACUCUAAUGAAGCUUAAACUUCAAAGGGAAACAAAAUCUAACAGCACGUCGAAAUGGCUAUUUAUAAAGAAAAUAACAAUCUCUGUCCCAUUUCCAAGGGACCUGGCUGACCUGCACACACUGAAAUCUCAAUGCUACUGAAUCAAGGCGAUUCCUGGUGGUACCUGCUGAAAGACUCAGGAGGCUGCUGCCAUAAGAAUAUCGAUCAUAGUAGUGUCUGUCAGUCAUCCUUUACUAUUGAAAUUAUUAUUGACCCAGAAACUUGCUAAUUCGCAUCCACACACCCCUGUGUAUUCCUAAUUGUGGUGAAAGUGCUCCUCAGCUGUCAGCAGAGAUUUGAUAAGGCAACAGGACACUUGUUUUCAUGGAACGCUUUGCUGCAAUUUUAAUGAAAUGAACCAAGAGCAUCCCAAAUAAGACGGGACAGGUGUCAGAUAUGCAAAGCAACACUGUACCUUUAUGAGAUGUGCAGAAAAGGGAAUCCCAGCAGGCACAGCCAUUCUUACCCCUGUGUGGCAAAAUCCACUCACUGGCAUUGACUUUAGGAUCCGUGUUGAUCUUUCAAUCUAGUCACUCUGUGUGGGGGUGAGCUUUUUCCUUGCCACAGGAAUAUGGUGAUUCCCAAUCCCAUACACCCUAGGGUACAAUCAAGCUGAAAGCUGCUAUCGUUCACCAGAGAGCCAAGCAGGUACUUGGACUGUCAAGUGGAAGACAGGGGAGGCUCGGCGCAUGGGAUUAGACCAUUAGUCUGCGAUGCUUUGCUAACCACUGUUUUGCGAAAGUAACACCACAGUUUCCAGCAGCCUUAAAUCCAGACUCUGACUCAUGAGGCCAUCACAGCAUUCGAGCAAUAAAUCAUCUAGUAAUUAUGCCAAUAACUGUUCCUGUUUGGUACACUAAGCAAAACAAAUCCUUUGUUACGUUUUCUCAGCACUGUGGUACAAAAAUAACUUGCGGUCUAUUCUUGACGUCUGUUCCUUUUCACAUGCAAUUCUUUCCAUCUUCUCUGAAUGCUACAACUGGGCAUCAUUUCUAGAGCACUUUCUGCUUGCCCUCACAACAACCUUCUGAUAAUGGGUCACUAUCUUCUCUCAUUUUACAGAUGGCAAACAGAAGUGGAGAGACAAAAUGACUUCAUCACGGUAACUCAAGAUGACAAAAGUAGCGCUUGAAUCCAAGUCCCAUAUCCACCUCUGCCACUCCAGCUCCUGGACCUUCCUGGAUCUAAAUGUGGGAUGCUUUUUAGAAAAAGCAAGGGGAUGGUGGAAGCAAAGAGGGCUUUCAUUCAUUGCCCUCCCGGCUGCUGAUUUGUCCCUCCAAGAAUAUCUGCACGGACUUCCUCUCCCUUAUUUCCUUCUUUGGCAUCCUAGCAGCAGGAAAGCCCACAAGAGGGACAUACAGAACAAUCCUAUAUAGGUUUCCUGAGUAGUAAACAGAAUUCAAAGGGCUGACUCCGGCAUCAAGGUGCAUAGGAUCGCAGCAUAUUAAUGCAUCCACAUGGUAGUUUUGGAAGGGG